UACGGUGAGGAUAGUAUACAGGGAUCACCUCUUCCCAUUCCGAACAGAGAAGUUAAGUCUGUAUACGCCAAUGGUACUGCAAAAGCGGAAGAGUAGGUAUCGCCAUGU
rnacentral:rRNA from 1 species